AUAUGCUGGUGGUAUGCCUAUACAUGCAAUGUCGAACGAGAGCGUCCUUCGCGGCGAGUACAGUGGCGCACGGGUGAGUAACGCCGUAGAUGAUAUGCCUUAUAGUGGGGGACAACAGUUGGAAACGACUGCUAAUACCGCAUAAUAUUAGUGACAUUGAAAAUAACUAAGGAAAGGGGGCUUCGGCUCUCGCUAAGAGAUUGGUCUGCGUGACAUUAGCUUGUUGGUGGGGUAAUGGCCUACCAAGGCAACGAUGUCUAGCUGGUCUGAGAGGAUGAUCAGUCACACUGGAACUGAGACACGGUCCAGACUCCUACGGGAGGCAGCAGUAGGGAAUAUUGCACAAUGGGGACAACCCUGAUGCAGCAAUACCACGUGAGUGAGGAAGGCCUUCGGGUUGUAAAACUCUGUCCUAUAGGAAGAACUGCUUUACGGUUAAUACCCGUAUUGUUUGACGGUACUAUAGAGCAAAGCACCGGCUAACUCCGUGCCUGCAGCCGCGGUAAUACGGAGGGUGCAAGCGUUGUUCGGAUUUAUUGGGCGUAAAAUGCGCGCAGGCGGACUAGCAAGUCAGAUGUGAAAUCUCGGGGCUCAACCUCGACUCUGCGUCUGAAACUGUUAGUCUAGAAUUACAGAGGGGGAAGGGGAAUUUCACGUGUAGGGGUAAAAUCCGUAGAGAUGUGAAGGAACACCGGUGGCGAAGGCGCCUUCCUGGAUGUAUAUACACGCUGAGGCGCGAAAGCGUGGGGAGCAAACAGGAUUAGAUACCCUGGUGGUCCACGCCGUAAACGAUGAGAACUAGCUAUUGGGGGUAUUGACUCCUUCAGUGGCGCAGCUAACGCAUUAAGUUCUCCGCCUGGGACUUACGGUCGCAAGACUAAAACUCAAAGGAAUUGACGGAUGCCCGCACAAGCGGUGGAUUAUGUGGUUUAAUUCGAAGCAACGCGCAGAACCUUACCACGGCUUGAAAUCCUAGGAAUCCCGAGUAAUUAGGGGAGUGCCCGCAAGGUCUUCUAGUGACGCGUGCUGCAUGCGCAGUCGUCAGCUCGUGUUGUGCUAUGUUGGGUUAAGUCUCGGCAACGAGCGCAACCCCUAUCUUUAGUUGCCAGCAUUAAGUUGGGUUCUCUAGAGAGACUGCCCUGGGUUAACCGGGAGGAAGGUGGGGAUGACGUCAAGUCCUCAUGUUCCUUAUGCCUUGGGCUACACACGUAAUGUGAUGGUUGGUACAGAGGGACGCGAGCACGCGAGUGUCAGCAAAUCUCAAAUAAGCCAAUUUCAGUCCGGAUUGGAGUCUGCAACUCGACUCCAUGAAGUUGGAAUCGCUAGUAAUCGGAGAUCAGCACGCUCCGGUGAAUACGUUCCCGGGCCUUGUACACACCGCCCGUCACACCAUGGGAGUCGUUUUCAUCUGUAGACGUGACUCUAACCUUCGGGAGGAUAGCGUCUACAGUGGGAGCGAUGACUGAGGCAAAGUCGUAAACAAGUUAGUA
rnacentral:rRNA from 1 species